GACGCCCGCUUUCUUCUUUCUUAACACAUGCCAGUCGAACGGAAAGGCCCUGCUUUUGUGGGGUGCUCGAGUGGCGAACGGGUGAGUAACACGUGAGUAACCUGCCCUUGACUUUGGGAUAACUUCAGGAAACUGGGGCUAAUACCGGAUAGGAGCUCCUGCUGCAUGGUGGGGGUUGGAAAGUUUCGGCGGUUGGGGAUGGACUCGCGGCUUAUCAGCUUGUUGGUGGGGUAGUGGCUUACCAAGGCUUUGACGGGUAGCCGGCCUGAGAGGGUGACCGGCCACAUUGGGACUGAGAUACGGCCCAGACUCCUACGGGAGGCAGCAGUGGGGAAUAUUGCACAAUGGGCGGAAGCCUGAUGCAGCAACGCCGCGUGCGGGAUGACGGCCUUCGGGUUGUAAACCGCUUUCGCCUGUGACGAAGCGUGAGUGACGGUAAUGGGUAAAGAAGCAACGGCUAACUACGUG
rnacentral:rRNA from 1 species